rnacentral:rRNA from 1 species
GUGGGGAAUAUUGGACAAUGGGCGCAAGCCUGAUCCAGCAAUGCCGCGUGUGUGAAGAAGGCCUGCGGGUUGUAAAGCACUUUAAGCAGGAAAGAAGGCUUCGGAGCUAAUAUCUUCGAAGAUUGACGUUACCUGCAGAAUAAGCACCGGCUAACUCCGUGCCAGCAGCCGCGGUAAUACGGAGGGUGCGAGCGUUAAUCGGAAUUACUGGGCGUAAAGCGCGCGUAGGCGGUUUGCUAAGUCCGCUGUGAAAGCCCUGGGCUUAACCUGGGAACUGCAGUGGAUACUGGCAGGCUAGAGUAUGGUAGAGGAGAGUGGAAUUUCCGGUGUAGCAGUGAAAUGCGUAGAGAUCGGAAGGAACACCAGUGGCGAAGGCGGCUCUCUGGACCAAUACUGACGCUGAGGUGCGAAAGCGUGGGGAGCAAACAGGAUUAGAAACCCCAGUAGUCC